rnacentral:rRNA from 1 species
GACGAACGCUGGCGGCGUGCCUAAUACAUGCAAGUAGAACGCUGAAGGAGGAGCUUGCUCUUCUGGAUGAGUUGCGAACGGGUGAGUAACGCGUAGGUAACCUGCCUCGUAGCGGGGGAUAACUAUUGGAAACGAUAGCUAAUACCGCAUAAGAGUAGAUGUUGCAUGACAUUUACUUAAAAAGUGCAUUUGCAUCACUACAAGAUGGACCUGCGUUGUAUUAGCUAGUGGUUGGGGUAACGGCUUACCAAGACGACGAUACAGAGCCGACCUGAGAGGGUGAUAGGCCACACUGGGACGGAGACACGGACCAGACUGAUACGGGAGGCAGCCGUAGGGAAUCUUCGGCAAUGGACGGAAGUCUGACCGAGAAACGCGGAGUGAGUGAAGAAGGUUGUCGGAUGGUAAAGCUCUGUUGUAAGAGAAGAAAGAGCGUGAGAGUGGAAAGUUCACAAUGUGACGGUACCUGACCAGAAAGGGACGGCUAACUACGUG